rnacentral:lncRNA from 1 species
GAAUGAGUUCCAGAGCCUAUGCCUCCUCUAGAUCCAAUGCCUCCUCCAGAUCCAAUGUCGCCUCCAGAUCCAACGUUGCUUCCAGAUCCAACGUUGCCUCCAGAUCCAACGUCGCCUCCAGAUCCCAUCCGGGCUCCAGAUCAACAUUCGCAGCCAGAAGGGAAACGAGCAGACAGCAGAGAACAUUUUGGUAUCAUUUACAAGAGUUGAUUUCGCCGGACAUUUAUAUAUAUCUUGCAUUAAUGAUGUCCCUGGCACUAUUUUUUGCUGCAGCUGGGAUGACUGCUUUGUAUCAUCACGAAGCAAACAAAACAGCCAUCCUAAAUAGUGCAGCUGAACGUAUUAAGACAUUUACAAUCGCAAAGGAGCCAUCAGUGAAAGGCAAAAACGAUACAGAAAUACUUGCAAAAACUCAGAAGUUAGCCGAUGAGUUGGCUGUAUGGACCUUAAAGACCAUUCAACUGGAAGCUGCAAUUGAUUUUGGAAAUUUAAUUGGCCAGUGGCGAAAGGAAACUGUACUGUAUUAA